rnacentral:tRNA from 1 species
GGGAAUGUAGCUUAGUGGUAGAGUACUUGCCUAAUAUGUAUGAAGCCCUGGGUUCAACUCCUCAGUACCA